UGGCCCCAUCGGAUGAUACCCCCGGACAGGGCCAAACAGGAAGGAUAUAACCCCACUCACUUUGCCAAAGCACAGCCCCCACACCACGAGAGGGCUACCUUCAUCCAUCAGGUCCAUAGAUGUGAAAGUCCUACUCAUCUCUCUGGGCAUGUUGGUGGUGGUGACAGCUGGUAUCCUAGUAACAUGGAAGAUGUGGAGAAGGCAUAAGGACAAUAAGGCCAAGGACCAGAUUACUAACAACUCAGUGUCUGCUGACUCUGAGCAGGACAUUACAUACAGCACAGUGACCAACACCAGAAAAAUAGCACAGC